rnacentral:lncRNA from 1 species
GAUGUCACACAGCGCCCCCAAGGUCACUGGAUUUUCCAGGCCACACAAGCACUGGGCAAAAGAGCUCAAAGCACAGCUGGGAUGUCUAACCUCUUACCCUGCUUUUCCCAUGAAGCAUCUCUGAAUUGCGCUGAGCGCUUCCAGUUGCGCCAUCUUGGAAACCAGGCGCCGAGCCAGCGCGGACACCCAUGAGCCCUGGGGAAAAGGCCCGCCCCGCGCCAACCAGCCACAUCCUGGAGAGGGGCCAGGGCUGCCAGGCCUCACAGGGCGUUCACAGCAGGAGUGGCACUGCGUGAGACUAACUCAGACAAGAGACCCUUUCUGUGCCUACAUCCUGCCUUUGCCUCUCCUGACUUCUCUGACGAAGGCUUGCAACUAAGCCAAAUGACCAUGUAAAUGGAAAAUGACUAGAAGAGAUAAAUACUGGAGCGAAACAAUGCACACAAAUUAUAUCUGCCUCAAGAAGAAGAGUAAUUUCCUUUGUUUCUCUCACAAAAGCAGGCCAAAUUCCAAGCGGCUUGCGGAGGAGCAUCCACCCCGGAAGGCCGGUGGAGAGUGCUGCUGUUGAUGGAGGAGGAAGGGUCCCGGACCAGCAGUGCUAUCCACAGGGUACAGAAAAGCAAAAAAGGCCUCGUGCUGGAUGCUGGAUUUACUUUCUUGGAGAGAAAGCCCUGGGGUGACUUGGCAGGGGCUGUCACACAGUGACUACCAGGGCCACAUGAAGAGAUGUUAGAGGAAGGCAGAGAGGAUUUAAUAUCAAAACUCUAAACCCCUGAGCAGAAGGCAUGCAACCCAGGAGAUGCAAUCACUUUUAGAGUUUUUCAUUCGAUGCAGUUUGAAUAUCCAUUUUUUGUCAUUGGCAGAUUUUAUUAAGCAUCUCCAAGAACAAGGAUACCUUUAAUCAAAGACCGAAACCUGGAAUAAUGCUUUUUUUAAAGUAUCUGUCUCAAUCUUUUGGUCCCGAGGGUAAAACGCCGGGCUCCUUGCCAUGAUUCUGGGUCACCACUUUCUUCUGCACUUGUGCCGCAGAGGCUGAGGGAGACACUCACCUCCCACGCACCACCUCAGGGAGCUCACAAGUCAAGGAGGCCACUGCCACUGUGGUAAUUUGCAGAGUAGGCCAUCUCAUGCCUCAGAGCCAGCAGGUGAGGGCCACCACUUGAC